UUCCAAAGGACCUCCCCAGCUGCAAAAUUCCUUAAUGCUGUUCACUGAAAUUGCAGCUGAGACCAUUUGCCCCUCGGUUGACAGGAACCAUAGCUCCAGAGAGUUGCAAGCAAGAUCCCUGGAAAUGUGUGCCCCUCAGUGCCCAAGAACUGGAGCCAUAUUUGCUUUAUCCCCCGCCCCAGCCCUGCUCCCCUAGUUUCCAUGCAAUUUGAGCGCUAACGCAGAUGGUGUUUUCAAAGAGUCCUGAUGGGACAGGAAAGGGGGAGGGGGCUGAUAAUCCCACCCGACUAGGGAGUGUUCAUUAUGUUCAUUCAGAAAGUCCUGGCCUCUCUGCCAGCUUGGACUCCCCUCCACUUAGGGGCAGCUGUCGGCCCCAGCCAGGAGGCAGAUUUGUUGGUAUUUAAGGGAUUGGAGGAUUAAGUGAUCCAGAGAGGCCCCCACUGCACAACCUCAUCCUCUGAUGACUGGCCGCCCACCUCUGGGUAUUAUUAAAUGAUAAUUACAUCACAGGGCACUGUAUGUCCCUUCCUUCGGAGCCCAGCAGGCUCACAAAGGCAGCAGAGAAUAAGAUUGGGGUCAGAGUGGGAAGCCUCAAUCCUUCUUCUCUCGUGUAGGCAUAGAACAAUCUGUAGAUGGAAGAUCAAACUCAAAAUUAAAUCUGGGAUCCAGUCUGGGUGUUGUUCUUGGCUGACCUCAGAUAUACUGGCUUUCCCUGGUGCAAAGCAAGGACAUCCUCUGCUUGUUGAUGACAUGGGCAAGUUGAACUAACAGACGUCCCCCCCACCCCCCCCACCAACUAUGGGACCAUCUGGUUGAAGAAUCAUAAUCGGAGAUACUUUGGCUCCUGAAACAACAAUUAACGAAUGUCGCAAGACAAUGAUUAAUCCCAGCCUCUUCAUUCUUCCUCUUUAAAAACCCUAACUCAGAGACUAAGGUGAAGAAGAUCUGAGGCUUGUCUCCCACUCCCUUGCUUAGAACCUGCAAUAAACUGCAAUAAACUUAGAACCUGCUUAGAACCUGCUGUAUUUUCCUUCACCAAGUGAACAACAAAAAAAAUUCUUGCCCACCAUCAAGCCAUCAGCCACUGCAGCUGCCCUCCAUGUGCACCCUGAGGGGCAUUCAGGAUGGAGAGAAACAAGAUACUGGCCCUAGAUAAUUAAGAUGCAUAUCAAAGCAAAAACUCCUAUGUAUCCUGGCUCCUAAUGGCAGAAAGUGAAGAGAAACUAAAGAGCCUCUUGAUGAGGGUGAAAGAGGAGAGUGAAAAAGCUGGCUUUAAAACUCAACAUUUAGAAAACUAAGAUCAUGGCAUCUGGUCCCAUCAUUUCAUGACAAACAGAUGGGGAAAGAAUGGAAACCGUGGCAGAUUUUAUUUUCUUGGGCUCCCAAAUCACUGCAGCAGUGAUGCUUGCCCCUUGGGAAAAGCUAUGACAAAUCUAGACAGCAUUCUAAAAAGCAGAGACAUAACUUGGCUGACAAAACUCUGUAUAGUCAAAACUAUGGUUUUUCUAGAAGUCAUGUAUGGAUGUGAGAGUUGUGAUGUAGGCGAUAGAUAGGCUCCAGGUUAGAUAUUUACAGCUGGCCUCCUGUUUGCAUUUCAUGGGGCACCAAGAAGUAGGCUUCAGGCUGGGUAUUUAGAACUGUUAGCAUUUUCUGAGACUAGAGAUGGGUGGGCUCCAGUUAAGACAUUUUCAAUCAGACUUCUGAUUGCCCUCUGAAACGCAGGUAACAGCAUAAACAGGGUAAAUAAGCCAGUGUUUCUCUCUUGUAAGCACCUGAAGGUAAUAGUCAUGGCAAGGACAAAGAGGAGCAAAAAACCCUGUUUCAGUAAAGGAUUAAGGGAUCUCCCUGCCCCCUCUUUUGGGACAAGGGAGACACUACAGAUGUGCAGAAAGGUUCUUUGUGGGCCAAAAGGCAGAGGAUAACACCAGGCCAUAAUGAGUCUUGCUCCUCUCAGAAGCCGUCACUUCAAGAUCCAUCUUGGCUGAGGGGUGCCUGUGCGCCCAGGGGAGGGUCCCAAGUAGGUCAGGUGAGGAAAAAGAAACCACAUAAUUGGCCUGAAUGGAAACAAAGACCCAGAACUGAGCUAUAUAACCUCUUUACUGCAUUCCUCCUCACUAGGGAGGACACCCACAGCCUUUCUCUCUGGGUGUGCGUCUCUGCCUGUCUUCAAACUAAACAAACCAUUUCUCUGUGUGCUCUCCCACUUGCUGUUAUGCUAUAUCUCUAAUAAUAAACUUUGUAUCUGCAUUUACAGUUCUUGCCUCUGUGAUAAAUGCAUUUUUUCACUGGGGGCAAAGAUCCAGGGAAAAGUAGCUUCUAGGCUCUAGCCCUUGCUGGUCUGGUGGCUAGGAUUCCUGGUUCUCAUCCAGGCCACUCAUGUUCAAUUCCUGGGCGGGGAAUUAAGAUCUCACUUCACACCACACUCACUGCUGUCUCGCCAAGAUCAGCUGGACCCUAAAGAAGGCUGAGCGCUGAAAAAUUGAUGCUUUUGAAUUGUGAUGCUGCAGAAGACUGUUGAGACUCCCUUGGACAGCAAGAAGACCAAACCAGUCAGUCCUAAAGGAAAUCAACCCUAAAUAUUUAUUGUAAGGACUGGUGCUGAAGCUGAAGCUCCAAUACUUUGGCCACCUGAAGAGCUGACUCAUUGGAAAAGACCCUGAUGCUGGGAAUGAUUGAAGGCAAAAGGAGAAGGGGGCAGCAGAGGAUAAGAUGGCUAGAUAGCAUUACCAACUCACUGGACAUGAAUUUGAGCAAACUUAUGGAUUGCUGCAGUCCAUGGGGUUGCAAAGAGUUGGACACGACUUACCAACUGAACAGAACAUCCUGGCUUCACCGUUAUCUCUUUGAAACAAUGCCUCAGAGCUAUCUGAGAGGUUGUGUACUGGUCUACAGCUCUCAGGAAUGUCCCAAAUAAAACAUAAUUCUCAACUUUUAGGUUGUGCUUUUUUUCAGCAACCACAAGUCCUCAGUAAAUUGGCUGUGCUCCACCUCAGCAAAUGGAGUUCAGUUCCCUAAGCUGUCCUCCAGAAGCCUUGUCUGACACCACCCCCUCCAAGUCUCCAACCUCACAGUAUUCAGUAUCUUCCCCACC
ensembl:lncRNA